rnacentral:ribozyme from 13 species
UCUUUUUUUCUAUUUUUUUUUCUUUCUUUGCUCUCUUUUUUUCUUCCUCAAAAAUGGGGAAAAUAGGAACAAAAACGGAGAGGGGGGGGAGAGAAGGGAGAAUGAUCGAGAGGAAAGAGCAGAGAAAGGAAAUAAU